rnacentral:rRNA from 1 species
GACGAACGCUGGCGGCGUGCUUAACACAUGCAAGUCGAACGGAAAGGCCCUGCUUUUGUGGGGUGCUCGAGUGGCGAACGGGUGAGUAACACGUGAGUAACCUGCCCUUGACCUUGGGAUAACUUCAGGAAACUGGGGCUAAUACCGGAUAGGAGCUCCUGCUGCAUGGUGGGGGUUGGAAAGUUUCGGCGGUUGGGGAUGGACUCGCGGCUUAUCAGCUUGUUGGUGGGGUAGUGGCUUACCAAGGCUUUGACGGGUAGCCGGCCUGAGAGGGUGACCGGCCACAUUGGGACUGAGAUACGGCCCAGACUCCUACGGGAGGCAGCAGUGAGGAAUAUUGCACAAUGGGCGGAAGCCUGAUGCAGCAACGCCGCGUGCGGGAUGACGGCCUUCGGGUUGUAAACCGCUUUCGCCUGUGACGAAGCGUGAGUGACGGUAAUGGGUAAAGAAGCACCGGCUAACUACGUG